rnacentral:rRNA from 1 species
UACGGGAGGCAGCAGUGGGGAAUAUUGCACAAUGGGCGAAAGCCUGAUGCAGCUAUGCCGCGUGUAUGAAGAAGGCCUUAGGGUUGUAAAGUACUUUCAUCGGGGAGGAAAAAACAAAACUAAUAAUUUUAUUUCUUGACGUUACCCGAAAAAGAAGCACCGGCUAACUCCGUGCCAGCAGCCGCGGUAAUACGGAGGGUGCUAGCGUUAAUCAGAAUUACUGGGCGUAAAGAGCACGUAGGUGGUUUUUUUAAAGUCAGAUGUGAAAUCCCUGGGCUUAAACCUAGGAACUGCAUUUUGAAACUGAAAUACUAGAGUAUCGUAGAGGGAGGUAGAAUUCUAGGUGUAGCGGUGAAAUGCGUAGAUAUCUGGAGGAAUACCUGUGGCGAAAGCGGCCUCCUAAACGAAUACUGACACUGAGGUGCGAAAAGCGUGGGGAGCAAAACAGGGAUUAGAUACC